AAUCAUUGAUUAUGACUUGGCUUUGCUUAUUCAACCAAUGCUUAUGCUUGGGAUCAGUAUGGGUGUCAUUUUUAAUGCCAUAUUUCCUGACUGGUUGGUAACAAUUCUCAUAAUGGUGCUCUUCUUAGGUAAUCAGUUAUAUCACAUGGAGGACAUUGUGAUUUUGUUAAUGGGAGCAUCCUUCAUGCCUGCUGAUGGCAUUUUAUAGGCACACUAACUAAAUCAUUUAUGAAAGGUGUUGAGUCAAGAAAGGAGGAGGCACUGAUGAAGAAGGAGGCUGCUAAAUGCUCUCAGCCCAAGGGUAAGCUUGGGGGAGUACAUAAUACCCUGGUUUUGUUUGUGUUUUGGAAACAAGUAUUUCAUCUCUCCUGGGGGGAUUCAAGAAGUAGAAUAUAAACCUCUUGCUGCUGGUCCAAGCAAUGAUGGUCAAAAAGAGGAUAUGGAACCAGUUCUUCAGAAUAUUUGCUGGAAGUAGCUUGGCCUUCUUGUCUUUUAGCGGAUGGCAUUCCUUGUAUUACAAAUCGCAAA